rnacentral:rRNA from 1 species
AGUCGAGGGGCAGCAUGGUCUUAGCUUGCUAAGGCCGAUGGCGACCGGCGCACGGGUGAGUAACACGUAUCCAACCUGCCGUCUACUCUUGGACAGCCUUCUGAAAGGAAGAUUAAUACAAGAUGGCAUCAUGAGUCCACAUGUUCACAUGAUUAAAGGUAUUCCGGUAGACGAUGGGGAUGCGUUCCAUUAGAUAGUAGGCGGGGUAACGGCCCACCUAGUCUUCGAUGGAUAGGGGUUCUGAGAGGAAGGUCCCCCACAUUGGAACUGAGACAUGGUCCAAACUCCUACGGGAGGCAGCAGUGAGGAAUAUUGGUCAAUGGGCGAGAGCCUGAACCAGCCAAGUAGCGUGAAGGAUGACUGCCCUAUGGGUUGUAAACUUCUUUUAUAAAGGAAUAAAGUCGGGUAUGCAUACCCGUUUGCAUGUACUUUAUGAAUAAGGAUCGGCUAACUCCGUGCCAGCAGCCGCGGUAAUACGGAGGAUCCGAGCGUUAUCCGGAUUUAUUGGGUUUAAAGGGAGCGUAGAUGGAUGUUUAAGUCAGUUGUGAAAGUUUGCGGCUCAACCGUAAAAUUGCAGUUGAUACUGGAUAUCUUGAGUGCAGUUGAGGCAGGCGGAAUUCGUGGUGUAGCGGUGAAAUGCUUAGAUAUCACGAAGAACUCCGAUUGCGAAGGCAGCCUGCUAAGCUGCAACUGACAUUGAGGCUCGAAAGUGUGGGUAUCAAACAGG